rnacentral:rRNA from 1 species
UACGAAGGGUGCAAGCGUUACGCGGAAUUACUGGGCGUAAAGCGUGCGUAGGCGGUCUGUUAAGUGCGUUGUGAAAGCCCUGGGCUCAACCUGGGAAUUGCAGUGGAUACUGGCAGGCUAGAGUACGGUAGAGGAUGGUGGAAUUCCCGGUGUAGCGGUGAAAUGCGUAGAGAUCGGGAGGAACACCCGUGGCGAAGGCGGCCAUCUGGACCAGUACUGACGCUGAGGCACGGAAGCGUGGGGAGCAAACCGG